AAGUAAAGUCGUAACAAGGUUUCCGUAGGUGAACCUGCGGAAGGAUCAUUAUCGUAAAAAAAAAUGUGUGAGGCAUGCAAGGGCUGUCGCUGACUUUUGACCCCAAAAGUCGUGCACGCCAGAGUGUGUCCUCUCACAUAAAAUCCAUCUCACCCUUUUGUGCACCACCGCGUGGGCACCCUUCGGGAUCAAACCGAUCCAGGAGGGGGCUUGCGUUCUCACACAAACCCCCUUUUAAAAAGUGUAGAAUGACCUCAUUUUUGCGAUAACACGCAAUCAAUACAACUUUCAACAACGGAUCUCUUGGCUCUCGCAUCGAUGAAGAACGCAGCGAAAUGCGAUACGUAAUGUGAAUUGCAGAAUUCAGUGAAUCAUCGAAUCUUUGAACGCACCUUGCGCCCCUUGGUAUUCCGAGGGGCACACCCGUUUGAGUGUCGUGAAAAUCUCAACCUCCUCGGUUUCUUCUGGACACCGAAGGAGGCUUGGACUUUGGAGGCCUUUGCUGGCGUCUCUCGCCAGCUCCUCUCAAAUGAAUUAGCGGGGUCCUCUUUGCCGAUCCUCGACGUGUGAUAAGAUGUUUCCAUGUCUUGGUUUCUGGCUCUGUUGCUUUUGGGACCCGCUUCUAACCGUCUCAACCCGAGACAAUGUUUGAGCGCGUCUCCCUUCUCGGGAAACGCCCUCAAGCCCA
rnacentral:rRNA from 1 species